rnacentral:rRNA from 1 species
AUUGAACGCUGGCGGCAGGCUUAACACAUGCAAGUCGAGCGGAGAGAGGUAGCUUGCUACUGAUCUUAGCGGCGGACGGGUGAGUAAUGCUUAGGAAUCUGCCUAUUAGUGGGGGACAACAUUUCGAAAGGAAUGCUAAUACCGCAUACGUCCUACGGGAGAAAGCAGGGGAUCUUCGGACCUUGCGCUAAUAGAUGAGCCUAAGUCGGAUUAGCUAGUUGGUGGGGUAAAGGCCUACCAAGGCGACGAUCUGUAGCGGGUCUGAGAGGAUGAUCAGCCACACUGGGACUGAGCCACGGCCCAGGAUCCUACGGGAGGCAGCAGUGGGGAAUAUUGGACAAUGGGCGGAAGCCUGAUCCAGCCAUGCCGCGUGUGUGAAGAAGGCCUUGUGGUUGUAAAGCACUUUAAGCGAGGAGGAGGCUACUUUAGUUAAUACCUAGAGAUAGUGGACGUUACUCGCAGAAUAAGCACCGGCUAACUCUGUGCCAGCAGCCGCCGUAAGAC